AUUUAGUACAGUUGUGGAUUUUCAUGUUUAACGUUUAACCGUCCAUCUUAUUUAAAUUUUUUUAUAAUUAGUAUUUUUAUUCUUAUUAGAUGAUAAAACAUGCUUUAUUUGUGAUUUAUUUUUUAAAUUAUUUUAAUAAAAUUUUCAAAUAAGACGAACGGUCAAACGUUGGACACAGAAACCCAUAACUACAUUUAAA
rfam:Oryza glumipatula chromosome 5, whole genome shotgun sequence.